CNGGAAUUAGCCGUUUNCUUAUUCAUCAAGUACCGUCAGAUCUUCUUCCUUGAUAAAAGAGGUUUACAGCCCAGAGGCCUUCAUCCCUCACGCGGCGUUGCUCCGUCAGGCUUUCGCCCAUUGCGGAAAAUUCCCA
rnacentral:rRNA from 1 species